ACAUUCAGAAAACACUGAACAGAGGCAAGACUUCGGAGAAAGCAGACCAAGCAUGAUGGCCACCUUGCCACCAACAGCCAAUCCUUCCCAGCAACCUCUAAACCUAGAGGACGAAGAAGAUGGAAUCCUGGAUGAGUAUGACCAGUACAGCCUGGUUCAUCCUUAUGUAGUCGGGGGAAGUCGGAAAGGUAGGACAAAGAGAGAAGCUGCUGCCAAUACCAACCGCCCUAGCCCUGGUGGGCAUGAGAGGAAACUGCUGACCAAAUUCCAGAACUCUGAAAGGAAAAAGGCCUGGCGCUGAGGCAGAGCUGGAGAUGAGGUCAGACCAUGGACACCACACCCGGGAAUGGACACAGGACUUUGGAGAAAUUAGGAGCUGUAAGCAGGACCUAGGCCUGCUUGAGUCUCUCCCACCUGAGUGAGGUUCUGGAGAGGGAGCACCAAAAAGCCCUUCCAGACUCAGCAAAAGGGCAAGAUGGGCAAGAAGCAGAGGGUGGAUGGGCAGAAGACAUCCCCCAAAGAACUGUGGGAGAAAUCGCACGCCCUUGGGUGGCAGCGACAAUAAACCGUACAGCAGUGAAAAAAAAAAAA